rnacentral:rRNA from 1 species
UACGUAGGGGGCAAGCGUUGUCCGGAAUUAUUGGGCGUAAAGAGCGUGUAGGCUGUUCGAUAAGUUUGCUGUAAAAGUCGUGGGCUCAACCCCCGAAAGCCGGUGAAUACUGUCGGACUAGAGUACGGAAGAGGCGAGUGGAAUUCCUGGUGUAGCGGUGAAAUGCGCAGAUAUCAGGAGGAACACCUAUUGCGAAGGCAGCUCGCUGGGACGUAACUGACGCUGAGACGCGAAAGCGUGGGGAGCAAACAGG